CCUAACACAUGCAAGUCGAACGGUAACAGGAAGCAGCUUGCUGCUUCGCUGACGAGUGGCGGACGGGUGAGUAAUGUCUGGGAAGCUGCCUGAUGGAGGGGGAUAACUACUGGAAACGGUAGCUAAUACCGCAUAAUGUCGCAAGACCAAAGAGGGGGACCUUCGGGCCUCUUGCCAUCGGAUGUGCCCAGAUGGGAUUAGCUUGUUGGUGGGGUAACGGCUCACCAAGGCGACGAUCCCUAGCUGGUCUGAGAGGAUGACCAGCCACACUGGAACUGAGACACGGUCCAGACUCCUACGGGAGGCAGCAGUGGGGAAUAUUGCACAAU
rnacentral:rRNA from 1 species